rnacentral:lncRNA from 1 species
UUCUUCACACAAACACAGCACAGCUCUGUGUUUCUGUCCCCUUCUUCUAGGGUUAGAUGUGAUGAGAGGUCAAGAGAUGCUGUCUGGUGGCAGUACGAAGAUCUGAUCUAUAUGUCCAGGUAAAUACUUGAACUAAUUGGGUAACAAGCUUCUGCUCUUGAACCACCCGUUAUUUGAUUUUCUGUGCUACAUGGAUCUGGCUGCCUUGCUUGCGAAUCACCCAGAGCUUUCCUUUUCAAGAACUAGUCUUGAUUUCCUGGAUCUUGUUUUCACUUUUGAUUAUUCAUCUGCUAACCUUUCCUUGUUUCUCGUUGCAUGUAUAGGUUUUCCAUUUGGAGGCAGUAAACUGGAGGCAGCAACUGCAUAACUUGCGAGAUGCUCGUAAGAUUUCUUAACUGUCCAUUAAAACUAGAACAUGUUCAGUUAUCAUCACCGGAGCUUUCUGGAGAUUAAUUAGUACCAUAGGUUUUCAUAUGUUCUUUGGAUUGGGCUAGCGAGUAUGAGAAGAUCCCGGAGAGGGAGACGGAAAAACUAUUAACAGGACGGGCGCAAAUAAAACCGAACUAUUCUUGGGACCGUAUUUUCACGUUGAUAUCUAAUUUUUACUCAUUAUCACUGUCAUUUGCCACUUCUGAUUUCGAAAUCUGGAGCAUCAAUAUUUCCCCUCCCGGCAUUGCAAUUUCAGCUAAUUACUGCCCUAGAUAUCCCUUUGAAAUGUCGGAUGGUGUCCACAUCAUCAGUCUAAGGUAGCAACUGGCCCACCUACCAGAGAUAAAUCAUGAUAAUUUAGUUUAGUUCGUGUAAAAAAAGUUGGGUCAAAAAAUAUAUUUAGUCUAUUCCUCUUUCAAGGAGGUAAUAACAUAAACUUUGUGGCUUCAGUGUGCCACACUAGACACAAUGUAUGGUCUAAUUUAUGCUUGAAAACUAAUUAUAUCAUUAAUAUGAUGCAGUUCAAAGGUAAUAUUCAAAAGUAUGUAUGUUGGUCGUUCUUCCAAUUAUCAUGUAACCUAUUUAUUGGGUUGGUAGGUUGGAUGAUGAUCAUGCCGAUGAGUUUACCGCAAGUUAUGCAGUUGCUGCCUCAAGCUUGCUGCAUCCCAAUGUCAAACCAGUGAGACUUAAGAUGAAGAAGUCAUUCGAAUACGAAAUCAAAGAGAAAAACAACCAUGCAAGAAGCCUCUGUAAUCUGCACAACCGAUCAUAUUAUUACUGCAAGCUAGCAAAGCUUUUUUAUGUACAAUUUAACUUUAUUUUCCCUAGCUCCGUGCUAUCUAUGAGCUAAAGGCACCUACAAGGCAGCAAUGCAAGUGUAAUCUUGAAAAUGACAGUCAAAAUGUUUGCAUGCAUGUAUGUUAUCUUUCAAUUUAUACGAGUACGUAACUUUUCUUUCAACUGAUUUUCAUAUUAUUAAUUUUCAUUUCAAGCUAGAAUGCAUUGUUA